rnacentral:lncRNA from 1 species
UUUCUUGUGAUUUGGCUGAGUUUCUUCUUCUUUUUGCGCGAUUCACGUGUUGUUGAUGAUGUUACAGGAUUUGAUAUCAGAGUUGACGCCAUGGAUUCGAUUCGAUUAGGUAGAAUCGAAUUGUAAGUAUGUAUAGCUGUGGAUGAAGAUGGAGAUUCAAUCAGAUGAGAAUAAUAUGAAUAAGAAUCAGGAGAAUCGAGAGAUUCGUAAGAGAAUUUACUUGAUCUAAAACUGACAACUAAUAAAAUUAAAAUGAUCGAUGCAUAGCAAACACAUAAACGAGAGAGAGAUAUAUUACCUUUCGGAGAUUCCGGCGAUGAAGUAUAGGUGUCGAUGGUGGAUGUGUGAGCGGAGAGAGAGAGAGAGAGAGAGGGAGAGAG